AUGGCGUCUCAGGCCUCCAUCUUACUGCACGACGAAGAGCUUGAGGAGAUCAACAAGGAGACUGGCCUUUCCCACAGUCAAAUCACAUGCCUGUACAGCCGGUUCAGCAACCUGGACAAAGGAGAGAACAAGACGAUUUCCAGGGGAUUCCAGAACUUACCAUCAACCCAGUGGGGGACUGGAUUAUCAAUGCCUUCCUUCCAGAGGGAGAGGACCAGGUAGACUUCCGUGGAUUCCUGCAAACUCUGGCUCAUUUCCGAACCAUUGAGGGUAGUGAAAAGAGCAAAGAUGUGAAUGGACCUGAACCACUCAACAGCCAAAGCAACAAACUGCAGUUUGCUUUUCGACUAUAUGAUUUGGAUAAAGAUAACAAGAUCUCUCGUGACAAGCUGUUAAGGGUGCGGUGCAUGAUGGUCCAAGUAAAUAUCUCAGAUGAGCAGCUGGGCAGUAUCGCAGACAGGACCAUUCAGGAGGCUGAUCAGCAUGGGGACAGUGCCAUAUCUUUAUCACAGACUUUGCUAAGGUUUUGGAGAAGGUAGAUGUAGAACAGAAAAUGAGCAUCCGAUUUCUUCACCAAAGGACAGACAGUGAACUAUUCCUUGCGGUCUAGUAUUUAAGAAAUGGAACUUGACAGUCCUCCUGUCCACCAGCCCUGCCUCCACCCCAUCAUUCCCUUUCUCCCAAAGUACUACUGCUGUUGCAUGACAACCCCAAAUAUGUUCUGUCAACACAAACCUGCUUUUGGUCUAUAAGCAGGGCGUUACAGAAUGGUACACCCAGUCUAUUUCUUCUCAGUAUCCAUUCACCAGUUCUUCAUUUAUAAAUAUCAUCUUCCUCUGUUCUGCCGCUAAAUGCCACACAUCCAUCCAGUCUGAGAAAGGAAGAUAGGGAAUCCUGCCGAGGAACAAACCAGCAAAGCUCUUUCACUGGAUGUAGACUGCACCUGCUGCCUUCCCUCUGGCGAGUCUGCCAGCAUGCUUCUCAAUCCUUUUUAUAUGUCCUUUGCUUCCCACUUCUGUGUACAUUCAUCAUACUGUUCACAGAGUCAUGCAGUCUUUCUGCUUUUUGUGAAGCCUCAGAAUCUCCUCUGUUCUACUUGGCACCCCAAGCUAUGCCUGGUAUUGUAUUUCUGACUUGGCUCGAUAGUUCGGUGGUCUGGCAGUUUUUAUCUACCUUCAUUAUUAAAAGGCCCUCUGGGGCUGGGCGCGGUGGCUGACGCCUGUAAUCCCAGCACUGUGGGAGGCUGAGGCGGGCGGAUCACGAGGGCAGGAGAUCGAGACCAUCCUGGCUAACACGGUGAAACCCCGUCUUUACUAAAAAUACAAAAAAUUUUUAGUAAACCUGGGCGUGGUGGCGGGUGCCUGUAGUCCCAGCUACUUGGGAGGCUGAGGCAGGAGAAUGGUGUGAACCUGGGAGGCAGAGCUUGCAGUCACCCGAGAUCACGCCACUGCACUCCAGCCUGGGCAACAGAGCGAGACUCUGUCUCAAAAAAAAAAAGGCCCUCUGGAAUGUUGCCUCUCCAGAAGCUUUUUGGUAACCAACACUUCUCUCAGGAGUAUGAGAUCAUCCUCUGCACUCUCCUCUGUCAUCAAAGGGCUGCUGGGUGGAGAUAUUCUUGAAAGGUGGCCUUGGUGAGAGGUGUGGAGUCAAGUCUUCUAGGUUGCUUGCCCACGUCACUCUACCUCUGGCCUCUGAUUCUCAACUUUGUACCUAUGGGGCAUCCCUUGUUAGUGCAGUGUUGACUAUUCAAAAAGUAGCAAUAUGCCUGCAGAUUUGCUUAGUCUUGGGACACCAUUACCACCAGAGUGGCUGCUCAGACAGUCCGCUUGGGGACUUUCUCAUGGCUUUUUGAACAAGGAGGCCGCGCACCCUGUGAAGCCUCUGCAUUCACACCUCUGCUGCAUGGUUUAUGCCUCAGUGUUAUGUGCACUGGAAUGCUUUUCACUUUAUGUUUCCAAGUUAGAAAGAUUAGUGUGACGGAAGUGCCUAACAUAUCCUAGUCCAAAAUAUUUGAAGAUUGUUCUCUGUGUCUUGAAGUUUUGCACAAAAUUCUUUACGAAUUUUACACUUGGCAAAUGUUAAUGCUAGAAGCCAUAGUCCGCUCCUAAUACAAGUCCAAAGCAUUGACUUGUAUCAUUAGCUCCCUGGUUACAUUGGUUUCCCAGCUCCUUGUGUAGAACACUGCUAAUCCCUUAGAAACAAGAGGUCUGGCACUAGUAGCACAACCUCAGGUGGCAUUCCAAGUCUUUGAGCAAGUCACAGCAACUUUUCUGCCGAAGUCAGCUUAGUUUAGACUUCAGUGAAUCAGGCUGUUGCCAUCCUAAUGUAUAUCUCUGUGAGUCUGUUCAUUCACGUAUCUGCCGUUGGCUGACUUUCUUGACUCACUGCUUGCUUGCCAGUUUCCUUGCUUUGGAAAACUAUUGAAGAUGUGUACAUAAUUCUUCAGGAAGGAGAUUGCUAAAAAAUACACUGCAAAGCGAUGGAAAAGGGUGGAGAACAGGGGAGUAGUCAGGUUGGAUGGCUCAAAUAUAAAUGAACGAGGAAUUCUUUAUGAAGUAUCAGUUGGACUUUGUGAUCGAGUGAUGUAAUAUAGGAAUUAUAUAGAAAGGGAAGAAUAUCUGAUACUGAUCUGUUAGAUACUUCAGAGGCUCCUUGAUUUGCAUAUUUAAAGUUCCUAAAAUUAUAGCUUUUCCCUUUUUUUGGCUGUACAGCAGACUGUUUUAAUCCACGGUUGUGCCUUAAAAUUCCAUUAAAAUUGUGUCUUCAGUCCGUCAAUAAAUACUUGUGGUUAAAACAAAACAAAAAUUAUUUACUGCACGCUGACUAAGGGCAGGGCUCUAUCAGUGUGCAUCGAGUGGCCUCGUAAGCUGUGAACAGAGUGCAUGUGGGACAUGGGAUGAAGUCUCUUCUACCUGAUUUUAA